CUAGAUGUUCUGGGCCGCCGCGCGCUACACUGACGCGACCACGAGCCUAUCCUUGGCCGAGAGGCCCGGGUAAUCUUGUAAACCGCGUCGUGAUGGGGAUAGAUUAUUGCAAUUAUUAGUCUUCAACGAGGAAUGUCUAGUAAGCGCGAGUCAUCAGCUCGCGUUGAUUACGUCCCUGCCCUUUGUACACACCGCCCGUCGCUCCUACCGAUUGGGUGUGCUGGUGAAGUGUUCGGAUUGACUUUGACUGGGGCAACCUGGUCAUGGUUGAGAAGUUCAUUAAACCCUCCCACCUAGAGGAAGGAGAAGUCGUAACAAGGUUUCCGUAGGUGAACCUGCGGAAGGAUCAUUG
rnacentral:ncRNA from 1 species